rnacentral:tRNA from 1 species
CCCUAAAUGACUGAGUUGAAGUGAUAGAUUUUUAAUCUAAGGACGACAUGAUUUAUUUAUUGUCUUUAGGGG